rnacentral:rRNA from 1 species
GACGAACGCUGGCGGCGUGCUUAACACAUGCAAGUCGAACGGUGAACGAGGGAGCUUGCUCCCUCCGGAUCAGUGGCGAACGGGUGAGUAACACGUGAGCAAUCUGCCCCGAACUCUGGGAUAAGCGUUGGAAACGACGUCUAAUACCGGAUACGACGCGGGAGGGCAUCCUCUCCGCGUGGAAAGAACUUCGGUUCGGGAUGAGCUCGCGGCCUAUCAGCUUGUUGGUGAGAUAACGGCUCACCAAGGCGACGACGGGUAGCCGGCCUGAGAGGGUGACCGGCCACACUGGGACUGAGACACGGCCCAGACUCCUACGGGAGGCAGCAGUGGGGAAUAUUGCACAAUGGGCGCAAGCCUGAUGCAGCAACGCCGCGUGAGGGACGACGGCCUUCGGGUUGUAAACCUCUUUUAGCAGGGAAGAAGCGAAAGUGACGGUACCUGCAGAAAAAGCACCGGCUAACUACGUG